UACGAAGGGUGCAAGCGUUACUCGGAAUUACUGGGCGUAAAGCGUGCGUAGGUGGUGAGUUAAGUCUGAUGUGAAAUCCCCCGGGCUCAACCUGGGAAUGGCAUUGGAUACUGGCUCGCUAGAGUGCGGUAGAGGGUGGUGGAAUUCCCGGUGUAGCAGUGAAAUGCGUAGAGAUCGGGAGGAACAUCUGUGGCGAAGGCGGCCACCUGGACCAACACUGACACUGAGGCACGAAAGCGUGGGGAGCAAACAGG
rnacentral:rRNA from 1 species